UACGAAGGGGGCUAGCGUUGUUCGGAAUUACUGGGCGUAAAGCGUAUGCAGGCGGAUCGUUAAGUCGGGGGUGAAAUCCCGAGGCUCAACCUCGGAACUGCCUUCGAUACUGGCGACCUUCGAGUCCGGGAGAGGUGAGUGGAACUCCGAGUGUAGAGGUGAAAUUCGUAGAAUAUUCGGAAGAACACCAGUGGCGAAGGCGGCUCACUGGCCCGGUACUGACGCUGAGGUGCGAAAGCGUGGGGGAGCAAACAGG
rnacentral:rRNA from 1 species